rnacentral:rRNA from 1 species
AGUGAACGCUGGCGGUAGGCCUAACACAUGCAAGUCGAACGGCAGCACAGUAAGAGCUUGCUCUUACGGGUGGCGAGUGGCGGACGGGUGAGGAAUACAUCGGAAUCUACUUUUUCGUGGGGGAUAACGUAGGGAAACUUACGCUAAUACCGCAUACGACCUACGGGUGAAAGCAGGGGAUCUUCGGACCUUGCGCGAUUGAAUGAGCCGAUGUCGGAUUAGCUAGUUGGCGGGGUAAAGGCCCACCAAGGCGACGAUCCGUAGCUGGUCUGAGAGGAUGGUCAGCCACACUGGAACGGAGGCACGGUCCAGACUCCUACGGGAGGCAGCAGUGGGGAAUAGUGGACAAUGGGCGCAAGCCUGAUCCAGCCAUACCGCGUGGGUGAAGAAGGCCUUCGGGUUGUAAAGCCCUUUUGUUGGGAAAGAAAAGCAGCAGGUUAAUACCCCGCUGUUCUGACGGUACCCAAAGAAUAAGCACCGGCUAACUUCGUG